rnacentral:sRNA from 1 species
GCUGGGCAUGGUGGUGGGUGCCUGUAAUCCCAGCUACUUGGGAGGCUGAGACAGGAGAAUCACUUGAACCCAGGAGGUGGAGGUUGCAGUGAGCCGAGAUCGUGCCAUUGCACUCUAGCCUGGGUGACAGAGCGAGACUCUGUCUCAA